rnacentral:rRNA from 1 species
GACGAACGCUGGCGGCGUGCCUAAUACAUGCAAGUCGGACACUUUUUCUUUCACCGGAGCUUGCUCCACCGAAAGAAAAAGAGUGGCGAACGGGUGAGUAACACGUGGGUAACCUGCCCAUCAGAAGGGGAUAACACUUGGAAACAGGUGCUAAUACCGUAUAACACUAUUUUCCGCAUGGAAGAAAGUUGAAAGGCGCUUUUGCGUCACUGAUGGAUGGACCCGCGGUGCAUUAGCUAGUUGGUGAGGUAACGGCUCACCAAGGCAACGAUGCAUAGCCGACCUGAGAGGGUGAUCGGCCACACUGGGACUGAGACACGGCCCAGACUCCUACGGGAGGUAGCAGUAGGGAAUCUUCGGCAAUGGACGAAAGUCUGACCGAGCAACGCCGCGUGAGUGAAGAAGGUUUUCGGAUCGUAAAACUCUGUUGUUAGAGAAGAACAAGGAUGAGAGUAAAACGUUCAUCCCUUGACGGUAUCUAACCAGAAAGCCACGGCUAACUACGUGCCAGCCGCCGCGGUAA